UACGAAGGGGGCUAGCGUUGCUCAGAAUCACUGGGCGUAAAGGGUGCGUAGGCGGGUUUUUAAGUCGGGGGUGAAAUCCUGGAGCUCAACUCCAGAACUGCCUUCGAUACUGGCGAUCUUGAGUCCGGGAGAGGUGAGUGGAACUCCGAGUGUAGAGGUGAAAUUCGUAGAUAUUCGGAAGAACACCAGUGGCGAAGGCGGCUCACUGGCCCGGUACUGACGCUGAGGCGCGAAAGCGUGGGGAGCGAACAGG
rnacentral:rRNA from 1 species